CCGGACUCAAGCCAUCCUCCUGCCUCAGCCUCCCAGGUGACUGUGAUUUCAGGUGGAGGAAGCUAAACAAGAAUUACAGGAAGUUGUUGAAUUCUUGAAAAAUUCACAAAAAUUUAUGGUUCUUGGAGGUAAACUUCUGAAAGGAAUUCUUUUAGUUGGACUCCCAGGGACUGGAAAGUCACUUUCUGAGCAGGAGAAGCUGAUGUUCCUUUUUAUUAUGCUUCUGGAUCCAAAUUUGGGGAAGAAAUGCGAAUGUUGCUUGUGUUACAUUUAUUGAGGAAUUAGAUUCUGUUGGUGGGAAGAGAAUUGAAUCUCAAUGCAUCCAUAUUUAAGGCAGACCAUAAAUCAACUUCUUGCUGAAAUGAAUGGGUAAUUGAGUAUCCUUUUGUCUUAGAAUAUGGUGAUGCCUCCCAGUAUUUGAUAUAUGUAGAAGUGAUCUUAUGCAAAUUAUUUCCAUAAGGCAUUUCAUAUCUAGAGAUACGAAAAAUGUGACAUGUAUAGGAAACAGAGUAGUCCCUCAAGCAAGAACUCGACAAGCUUUUUCUCUCAUUAUUGUAUUGUUUUCACUACUAAUUAGAUAUUUGAAUAUCAAUUCAUUUAAUUUGUGGUAUUUAUAUUCUUUUUCAUUUGUUGUACUUAAGAUAGAAAAACAGUGAUUCAAGCUGAGACUAGUAGUCUAUUUGAAGAAAUACACUUGUUUCUACACAGUUUAUGACUAGCUUUUAAUGUUGUGGCAGGUUUAAAGCUUACCUCAAUGUUUAUAAUGUAAAAAGCAAGAGUUGAUGUUGCUUUGAAAGAAGUGUCUUAAAAGUCAAUAUAAGACAUUUUGAAACCACAUAGGAAGCCCAGGAGGGAAUAAUUUGAAUUGGUAUGCUUGAAAGUAAUUUUUCAAAAAUUAACCAAGCACCUAAACUUUUUAUAUUAGGUUAUCUUUUCCUACAUAGACCAGAUAAUUGUGAAGAUAUGUAGUCACAGAUGACUGGUGGUAUCAGUCUCUUUUCUUAGCAGGCGGAUCACAAGGUCAGGAGAUUGAGACCAUCCUGGCUAAC